rnacentral:tRNA from 1 species
CGCGGAGUGGAGCAGUUGGUAGCUCGCCAGGCUCAUAACCUGGAGGUCGUCGGUUCGAGUCCAACCUCCGCAA